UACGAAGGGGGCUAGCGUUGCUCGGAAUUACUGGGCGUAAAGCGCACGUAGGCGGAUUGUUAAGUCGGGGGUGAAAUCCUGGAGCUCAACUCCAGAACUGCCUUCGAUACUGGCGAUCUCGAGUUCGGGAGAGGUGAGUGGAACUGCGAGUGUAGAGGUGAAAUUCGUAGAUAUUCGCAAGAACACCAGUGGCGAAGGCGGCUCACUGGCCCGAUACUGACGCUGAGGUGCGAAAGCGUGGGAGCAACAGGAU
rnacentral:rRNA from 1 species